CAUCGCCUGCUUUGUUUGCAGGUUCUCGCCAAUCCCUUCGGACCUGUAUUACAGAAAGGGGAUCGCUUUUUAGACUCUGGUGUGCAAGUCCCGCGUUGACGGGAAAGCCUUAAGGGGUUUUAGCGGUCCCCACUUGAACUCUAAGGUUCAAGGUACCCCGGGAAUUUGCGGCAACAGCGGGUGAUGC
rnacentral:other from 2 species